GACGAACGCUGGCGGCGUGCUUAGCACAUGCAAGUCGAACGGAAAGGCCCUGCUUUUGUGGGGUGCUCGAGUGGCGAACGGGUGAGUAACACGUGAGUAACCUGCCCUUGACUUUGGGAUAACUUCAGGAAACUGGGGCUAAUACCGGAUAGGAGCUCCUGCUGCAUGGUGGGGGUUGGAAAGUUUCGGCGGUUGGGGAUGGACUCGCGGCUUAUCAGCUUGUUGGGGGGGUAGUGGCUUACCAAGGCUUUGACGGGUAGCCGGCCUGAGAGGGUGACCGGCCACAUUGGGACUGAGAUACGGCCCAGACUCCUACGGGAGGCAGCAGUGGGGAAUAUUGCACAAUGGGCGGAAGCCUGAUGCAGCAACGCCGCGUGCGGGAUGACGGCCUUCGGGUUGUAAACCGCUUUCGCCUGUGACGAAGCGUGAGUGACGGUAAUGGGUAAAGAAGCACCGGCUAACUACGUG
rnacentral:rRNA from 1 species